GUAUCUUAGGAUCUUCCCUUAGUAUUAAUAUUGAAAGUGACUUGCUUAAGGCCGGUCAACCCCAGGACUGAUGCGGUUGACGUAGGUUCUCUCCCUAACGUUCGAUGGAAGAACAGUACAUUUCACCCAGUUAAGAAGUGAAAGUUUCUAGUCCUCACGACUACAAGAACAUAAGGGGACAGAGUCUGCCAGUCUUACGAGAGCGGAGCAGGUGUGAUCCGGGAGCACCCCACGACCGCGUAUUCCUCUUGCCCCACUCACCGUGGCAACCUGCCCGGAUGAGCGAUACCCCCGCCUGGCCUCGACCCCUCCGCCGCAGCAAAUGGAGCUGACAGACGCAGCCCCAUCCUCUUCGCUGGGCGGCCAGAGCCAGCAGCAUCCUCCUGCUCACGGACUAUUAGCGCCGCUUCCUCUGCCAGCUACAGCGAGGGUGCGAGGCGAAAGGAAAAGAGGGGUAAGCAGGACUGACUCCUCAUUGAUACGCCUGGCCCCGGCCGGCACACGGCUCCAGAGUUGACCCCAUCGGCCGAAGGCAGAGCCGCAGAAUCCGGAUGUGCAACAGAACCCUGGCCGCUCUGUCCUCGCCGCGUCUAUGAUCCAUCCUCUCUCGGGCCACCUGCAAGCACCAAAAAGCAUGCGCUAUUGGUGGGGUGGAGUUAAAAGUUCCCUUCACCCAUCUUUCCCCGCCACCACCCCCACCACCCCGAAAAAGGGAAUGUGACGUACAGUACCUCCCGUCUCGUGCUGCGGGAGUUUUUAACGUAGGGGCGUGUUCAAAACUGUAUGACCCCCUCUACAGUCUGAAAUGGUACGACCCAUUAUACCUCCUCAAGCGCUAGACGUAGACCGUGCCUCUGUUACAGCCAAUUGGAUGUCCUCUCCGUGUGAGGACUUGUAAACCUGUGAAAGUCUUAUUUGCUUUCAGAACUCAUUGGGCUGCAACUCUUAGGCUUGUGAGCGUGCUUGGGAGGCAGAUGUGUACGUCCAAGUAAAUGCAUGCAUAGGACUGGGCUGUUAGUCCGUAGUCCUGUGCACGCUUAAGACCGGAGUAAGGUCUCUUGAGCUCAGUGGGACUACCGACUAAACAUGCUUCGGAUAGUCACCGUGUUCUUUUUUGGAAUAAAUUCUACUGGGACCUUCUUCAGAGAAAACGGGCAUAGGGAACGACUGCCCAUUGCAAGAAAAUAGUAUGCCCAAGUUCCCGUCUGCCCAUUGAACCACGGGUAUUUUACACCAGGCAUUUCAUGGCUACAAGUGUUGCUGUGUGAGUAGCCAAACUGGCACCUGCUAUGCAGGAGGAGGUAUCAGCAGGAUUGGGGGAACCUCAAGGUUGGCAGAAGGACAGAAAAUAUCUGAACGGGGAAAAUCCAUGAAGGAGGGUGCUGCAAAACAGCCCAGUGAGUCUGAACACGCUCAGUAGCAAUGGAAUACUUACUGACUGUUGAGGGAGGGAAUGGAAUGGAGUAGGUGGAAUCCUGUGCAGCCACACUCCACACUGGUCCCACUUGUAUGAAAUAUGAAUACCUGCAACAUUCUAAACCAA